GACGAACGCUGGCGGCGUGCCUAAUUCAUGCAAGUAGAACGCACAGUUUAUACCGUAGCUUGCUACACCAUAGACUGUGAGUUGCGAACGGGUGAGUAACGCGUAGGUAACCUGCCUGGUAGCGGGGGAUAACUAUUGGAAACGAUAGCUAAUACCGCAUAAUAUUAAUUAUUGCAUGAUAAUUAAUUGAAUGGUGCAAUUGCACCACUACCAGAUGGACCUGCGUUGUAUUAGCUAGUAGGUGAGGUAACGGCUCACCUAGGCGACGAUACAUAGCCGACCUGAGAGGGUGAUCGGCCACACUGGGACUGAGACACGGCCCAGACUCCUACGGGAGGCAGCAGUAGGGAAUCUUCGGCAAUGGACGAAAGUCUGACCGAGCAACGCCGCGUGAGUGAAGAAGGUUUUCGGAUCGUAAAGCUCUGUUGUAAGAGAAGAACGGGUGUGAGAGUGGAAAGUUCACACUGUGACGGUAUCUUACCAGAAAGGGACGGCUAACUACGUG
rnacentral:rRNA from 1 species